AGAGUUUGAUCAUGGCUCAGAUUGAACGCUGGCGGCAGGCUUAACACAUGCAAGUCGAGCGGUAACAUUUCUAGCUUGCUAGAAGAUGACGAGCGGCGGACGGGUGAGUAAUGCUUGGGAAUAUGCCUUAUGGUGGGGGACAACAGUUGGAAACGACUGCUAAUACCGCAUAACGUCUACGGACCAAAAGGGGGGGAUCUUCGGACCUCUCGCCAUUUGAUUAGCCCAAGUGAGAUUAGCUAGUUGGUGAGGUAAAGGCUCACCAAGGCGACGAUCUCUAGCUGGUUUGAGAGAUGAUCAGCCACACUGGGACUGAGACACGGCCCAGACUCCUACGGGAGGCAGCAGUGGGGAAUAUUGCACAAUGGGGGAAACCCUGAUGCAGCCAUGCCGCGUGUGUGAAGAAGGCCUUCGGGUUGUAAAGCACUUUCAGUUGUGAGGAAAGGUUAUGAUUUAAUAAAUUAUAACUGUGACGUUAACAACAGAAGAAGCACCGGCUAACUUCGUGCCAGCAGCCGCGGUAAUACGAAGGGUGCGAGCGUUAAUCGGAAUUACUGGGCGUAAAGCGUGCGUAGGCGGUUUAGUAAGUUAGAAGUGAAAGCCCAGGGCUCAACCUUGGAACUGCAUUUUGACCUGGCAGGCUAGAGUCUUGGAGAGGGGAGUGGAAUUUCUGGUGUAGCGGUGAAAUGCGUAGAUAUCCGGAGGAACACCAGUGGCGAAGGCGGCUUCCUGGACCAACACUGACGCUGAGGUGCGAAAGCGUGGGCAGCAAACAGGAUUAGAUACCCUGGUAGUCCACGCCGUAAACGAUGUCAACUAGCCGUUGGGGGAGGAUUGCCUCUUGGUGGCGCAGCUAACGCGGUAAGUUGACCGCCUGGGGAGUACGGCCUCAAGGUUAAAACUCAAAUGAAUUGACGGGGGCCCGCACAAGCGGUGGAGCAUGUGGUUUAAUUCGAUGCAACGCGAAAAACCUUACCUACUCUUGACAUCCCGUGAACUUUCCAGAGAUGGAUUGGUGCCUUCGGGAACACGGUGACAGGUGCUGCAUGGCUGUCGUCAGCUCGUGAGAUGUUGGGUUGGGUUAAGUCCCACAUAACGCGCAACCCUUGUCCUUAGUUGCCAGCGCGUAAUGGCGGGGACUCUAAGGAGACUGCCGGUGAUAAACCGGAGGAAGGUGGGGACGACGUCAAGUCAUCAUGGCCCUUAUGAGUAGGGCUACACACGUGCUACAAUGGUCGGUACAGAGGGUUUCCAAGCCGCAGGUGGAGCUAAUCCCACAAAGCUUGUCGUAGUCCGGAUCGGAGUCUGCAACUCGACUCCGUGAAGUCGGAAUCGCUAGUAAUCGUGGAUCAGAAUGCCACGGUGAAUACGUUCCCGGGCCUUGUACAGACCGCCCGUCACGCCAUGGGAGUGGGCUGCACCAGAAGUAGAUAGCUUAACCUUCUGGGAGGGCGUUUACCACGGUGUGGUUCAUGACUGGGGUGAAGUCGUAACAAGGUAACC
rnacentral:rRNA from 1 species